UACGACCGUAUCACGUUGAAACAUGGGUUCUCGUGCGAUCACCUAAGUUAAGCAACGUCGAGCCAUGUCAGUACUUAGAUAGGGGUUCGUUUGUGAAUACUCAGAGCUGUC